GUGGGGAAUAUUGCGCAAUGGGGGCAACCCUGACGCAGCAACGCCGCGUGAGUGAAGAAGGUUUUAGGAUUGUAAAGCUCUGUCUUUGGGGACGAAACAAAUGACGGUACCCAAGGAGGAAGCCCCGGCUAACUACGUGCCAGCAGCCGCGGUAAUACGUAGGGGGCAAGCGUUGUCCGGAAUUACUGGGCGUAAAGGGCACGCAGGCGGUAUAAUAAGUCAGAUGUGAAAGUUUACAGCUUAACUGUGAAAGUGCAUUUGAAACUGAUAUACUUGAGUCUCGGAGAGGUAAGCGGAAUUCCUAGUGUAGCGGUGAAAUGCGUAGAUAUUAGGAGGAACACCGGUGGCGAAGGCGGCUUACUGGACUGUAACUGACGUUGAGGCUCGAAAGCGUGGGGAGCAAACAGGAUUAGAAACCCUAGUAGUCC
rnacentral:rRNA from 1 species